GGCGUAAAGCGCAUGCAGGUGGUUCGGUAAGUUGGAUGUGAAAGCUCCUGGCUCAACUGGGAGAGGUCGUUCAAUACUACUGGGCUUGAGAGCUGUAGAGGGGGGUAGAAUUUC
rnacentral:rRNA from 1 species